CCCUUUAUUCGCCGCUGGCACCAAGCGCUAAAAGCUUCGGACUAUCCUUAACAAUGGCGCUAGUUAGUGAAACCCUAAAAGCCAACCUCUGCUUCUCUAUUUUUACAUUGGUGAGGGCGCGCUCCUUUAUUUUCUUGGUGUACCUCAGCUUCGCUCCUCAGUCUGCUUUAGGUGAGAUUCCCUCUUAUUCUUGUAAUCAAAUUCUCAUACU
rnacentral:lncRNA from 1 species